rnacentral:rRNA from 1 species
GCAAGUCGAACGAGAACGGUCCUUCGGGAUGUCAGCUAAGUGGCGGACGGGUGAGUAAUGUAUAGUUAAUCUGCCCUUUAGAGGGGGAUAACAGUUGGAAACGACUGCUAAUACCCCAUACUCCUUUCUAUGUAAAGUAGAUUGGGAAAUGUUUUUUCGCUAAAGGAUGAGACUAUAUGGUAUCAGGUAGUUGGUGGGGUAAGAGCCUACCAAGGCGACGAUCCAUAGCUGGUCUGAGAGGAUGAUC